rnacentral:rRNA from 1 species
CCUACGGGAGGCUGCAGUGAGGAAUAUUGCACAAUGGGCGCGAGCCUGAUGCAGCAACGCCGCGUGAGCGAUGAAGGCCUUCGGGUCGUAAAGCUCUGUCCUCAAGGAAGCUAAUGACGCUACUUGAGGAGGAAGCCCCGGCUAACUACGUGCCAGCAGCCGCGGUAAUACGUAGGGGGCUAGCGUUAUCCGGAGUUACUGGGCGUAAAGGGGGCGUAGGUGGUUUCUUAAGUCAGAGGUAAAAGGGUGCGGCUCAACCGUAGUAAGCCUUUGAAACUGGGGAACUUGAGUGCAGGAGAGGAGAGUGGAAUUCCUAGUGUAGCGGUGAAAUGCGUAGAUAUUAGGAGGAACACCAGUUGCGAAGGCGGCUCUCUGGACUGUAACUGACACUGAGGCACGAAAGCGUGGGGAGCAAACAGGAUUAGAUACCCGGGUAGUC